CACGGGGGCAACCCUGGUGGCGAGUGGCGAACGGGUGAGUAAUGCAUCGGAACGUGCCCAGUUGUGGGGGAUAGCCCGGCGAAAGCCGGAUUAAUACCGCAUACGACCUGAGGGUGAAAGCGGGGGACCGAAAGGCCUCGCGCAAUUGGAGCGGCCGAUGUCGGAUUAGCUAGUUGGUGGGGUAAAGGCUUACCAAGGCGACGAUCCGUAGCUGGUCUGAGAGGACGACCAGCCACACUGGGACUGAGACACGGCCCAGACUCCUACGGGAGGCAGCAGUGGGGAAUUUUGGACAAUGGGCGCAAGCCUGAUCCAGCCAUGCCGCGUGCGGGAAGAAGGCCUUCGGG
rnacentral:rRNA from 1 species